rnacentral:rRNA from 1 species
UACGAAGGGAGCUAGCGUUGUUCGGAAUCACUGGGCGUAAAGCGCACGUAGGCGGAUGUGUCAGUCAGGGGUGAAAUCCCGGAGCUCAACUUCGGAACUGCCUUUGAUACAGCACGUCUUGAGUCCGAUAGAGGUGGGUGGAAUUCCUAGUGUAGAGGUGAAAUUCGCAGAUAUCAGGAGGAACACCGGUGGCGAAGGCGCCACUCUGGGCCGGUACUGACGCUGAGGAGCGAAAGCGUGGGGAGCAAACAGG